GGCACUAGAGAGAGAGGCUAAGGAUAGGGAGGUGGAUUUGGGAGCUAGCUCCAAAGAAGGUCGCACCACGGGAAUGAAUCAUGGCCCGGGAAGGGACUGUAGGACAAGGAAAGAGGACUAAGGCUGGACCUUGGUGACAGAACACUGAUGGGACAGGCAGAAGAAGAGGAACCAUGAGGAAGACUAAAGAGGAAUAACACUAGUGAGGAGAAGCAAGGCAGUUCAGUGUCAUGGAAGCCAAAAAUAUGGAGACUUCAAGAGGGAAAUUAAGAUCAGAAAAGAGAACAAGAGAAGAUGGCUGGUUGGUUGCUGGACACCAGAAUAUGAAGAAAUUGAUCCCCUACCUCAAGAAAUGAGAGCAAUACUGAGAGCAUCAGACCGAAGAUUUGGUGUAUGGUUCAAAUUCAUGAUCUAUCUUCUCCAAAUGUUGGCUUUCUCGUCUCUGUUGAUGACCUACUAUGUACCAUUUUGAACGCCUGUUGGACUUAAUAAACUUGCCUCUCCAGGUAUUUGGCUCAGGUGGGUGCUCCUCUAGGAUAUGGCGAUCAAGUAUGCAUUGAUAUCACCCAGAACCUCUGCUCUCAUGCAUCAUCUUUUUCCAGUCUGAGGAUCCCUUACUCUGCCUGGGGAGACAGCUUUUUGGUCUGGCAACACUCCUCCCUUCCAUCAUGACAUUGGAGCUCCUGAGCCCUGCUCCAUGUGCACGAGGGCUGACCAGUGAGGAGGCAGUAAUGUGAAUACUGUACCCCAGGUGUAUGUGGCAUGGCUCACUGCUCUGUAAGGGGAUCUGUGGGUUAUCUGGGGCCAGCUUUUAACCCCAGACUACUUUCCCCUUAACCAGCUUCCUCUUGCUAUCUCGUUCAGAGUGCAUGGGGGAAAAUGCAAUCUCACUUAAAAAUUAACUCAAACAUCUGCUGGUAGCCUCCACUACCAUUUAUUUCAUGCAUUUCAGUCUUAAAAAUGACUUUUGGGGGCACCUGGGUGGCACAGCGGUUAAAGCGUCUGCCUUCGGCUCAGGGCGUGGUCCCGGCGUUAUGGGAUCGAGCCCCAUAUCAGGCUCCUCCACUAUGAGCCUG